CCUACGGGAGGCAGCAGUAAGGAAUAUUGGUCAAUGGACGAAAGUCUGAACCAGCCAUGCCGCGUGAAGGAUGACGGCCCUCUGGGUUGUAAACUUCUUUUAUAGGGGACGAAAAAAGGGUAUUCUUACUCACUUGACGGUACCCUAGGAAUAAGCACCGGCUAACUCCGUGCCAGCAGCCGCGGUAAUACGGAGGGUGCAAGCGUUAUCCGGAUUCACUGGGUUUAAAGGGUGCGUAGGUGGGUCUAUAAGUCAGUGGUGAAAUCUCCGAGCUUAACUCGGAAACUGCCAUUGAUACUAUAGGCCUUGAAUUAUCUGGAGGUAAGCGGAAUAUGUCAUGUAGCGGUGAAAUGCUUAGAUAUGACAUAGAACACCAAUUGCGAAGGCAGCUUACUACGGAUAUAUUGACACUGAGGCACGAAAGCGUGGGGAUCAAACAGGAUUAGAUACCCUGGUAGUCCACGCCCUAAACUAUGGAUACUCGACAUCAGCGAUACACUGUUGUGUCUGNGNGAGANAUAUAUCCACCAGAGACGACGCGAGUAGAAGUAAAGUAAGUAGAGNGNGAGAGNGCGACGACGACGACGAGGAGGAGG
rnacentral:rRNA from 1 species